rnacentral:rRNA from 1 species
UAGGGAAUUUUCCACAAUGGGCGAAAGCCUGAUGGAGCAACGCCGCGUGCAGGAUGAAUGCCUUCGGGUUGUAAACUGCUUUUAUAUGUGACGAUUAUGACGGUAGCAUAUGAAUAAGGAUCGGCUAACUCCGUGCCAGCAGCCGCGGUCAUACGGAGGAUCCAAGCGUUAUCCGGAAUUACUGGGCGUAAAGAGUUGCGUAGGUGGCAUGUAAAGCGAAUAGUGAAAGACGCCGGCUCAACCGGUGAUACAUUGUUCGAACUCACAAGCUAGAGGACGAGAGAGGUAAUUGGAAUUCCUGAUGUAGGGGUAAAAUCCGUUGAUAUUAGGAGGAACACCGAUGGCGUAGGCAGAUUACUGGCUCGUUCCUGACACUCAGGCACGAAAGCGUGGGGAGCAAACAGGAUUAGAUACCCCCGUAGUCC